ensembl:lncRNA
AGCACAUCAUCAUUUAUUUGUAAUUAGCAGCGAGGAGCGCGUUCUCUCCCCGAGCCCCGCGGCCCGGGUCCCAGCGGGGUUGGCGGAGUUGUGCAAGCACUUUUGUUUGCUCGAGUGUUGACUCCCGGCAUUAUUCGGCCCCGGUAAUCUUUACGUCUUAAUCUAGCAUUCAGAGGGCGAAGGGAAAACAAACAGGGCGCAGGCCAGAGGCCAGCCCUGCGGUCCCGGCCGCGCGCGUAGCACGGCCCUCGCGCCGCGCGCUCAGGGCGCGUCUCCGCCGUCCCUUCUCCAUCCCGCGGAGAAGGCGAGGGACCCCACGGGGCAGCUGGAGGGGAAUGAGGCAGGCCAGGUUCGGGGAGGGCGGGAAGCUCAGAAGGAAAGUGGCGAAGGAAGAAGAGGUGAAGGAGCGAAAAGAGGGAACCCGGAGCCGGAAAGCAUGUCCCGCAAAGCGAGCGCAAUAAGGAAACGUCCAGGCUCGUGCGCGUGUGCCGGCGGCGUCGGCGGGAGAGUGCGUGUGCAUGUGUGUGCGCGCGCAGGGUGUGCGUGAAAUCACAUCCAUUUCAGCUGCUGGGAACAGGGCGGGGAGAGGCGAGCGCCAGCGGGAGGUGCCGGCCUGGCGUGCGUGAGGACAGCUCGCUGGGUGUCCGAGCUGCCAAAGGGCUUGCAUUUGGGGGGGACUGCAGCCCGGGGCGCAGCUCCAUCGCAGCCCACAAAUUGCGAGCGAGUGAUUAGCGAUCGGGAGCGGGUGGGGUGGGUAUUGCUGAAAGCCGGGCCCGAACCUGCGCGUGCGGAGCAACGCGAGUCGUGGCCCUGCGAGGAGUUGUUGAUUCCUUUCGGGUGUAACUGUCGUUCCCCAUCGUCGCAGCGCCGGCCGAGAAGCCGGCAGGUCGUGGGGGUCUUGGCUGCCGGGGCCAGAAACGUGGGCGACGCUGAAACGUCGCCGCGUCCCCCGCCGGGCACCCGAUUUCCGCUCGCGGUUUCAUAAGUCCCUCCGGCACAGGAAACGCUCACGCUCGACUACAGCGGGAGAUCCCAGCGCAGGAAAUGGGGGGGUGGCGGGGGAGGCGAGGGGUCACUGACAAUCCGGCUCGGGUUCUCAGGAGCCCGCCAGUGUGCACAGCUCAGAGGUUAGCAACCGGCUCGUGGGACCCUCCCUCCCCCUACCCCAGGAGUGGGCUUCCAGAAGCAGCCCUGAUCCCAGAGGGUCCCUGAGGUUCGUCUCCCAGGUGGCCCUCCUGUCUGAACUUUGGAGGAGACGGUCUUGAAUUUCUCCACCGGCUUUUGUGGCCAGGCCUGUUUAAUCCAGGCACCCCGCCCUGUCCAAGGCCGUGGCUUCACAGUGGGAGCCCUGCAUUUGCUCCCCACCUCCUUCCAGUGGGCCUUCCCUGGCAGGUAUGGGACCCUCCAAGCCCACUCCCCUUAUUUGUCUGGGGUCCUAGGCCUUGGGCCCAUCACCUUGAAAACGAAUAGAAGUCUGCUCACAUUGUGUCCUUGUCCCCGUUGAGGGCUCUGAACAGGCUCCCUCACCAGACGCAGGAUGCCUCUUCCUGACCUGCAGGGAGAAGAGAGCUGGCCAUGACAGACUGUAGAUACAAAGCUGACCGAGGCCCAUGUGACUGACCCGGAAGCUCCCGGGAGCCUGCUCUGGGGUAAUAGCACGUCAGGGAAAUUUAAGGGGAUACUUGGAAUUGCGAACUUAUGCCAACUGUUUGUCUCCUUGUUGACCGCCCUGGCCAUGUCUUACAUAAACUGAUGCAUUAGAAAACCUGUGUUCAAGGUCGAGUGUCUGCUGUGUUACUGAGAGAAGUAUCUGGGCACCCUUUCUGCUUUCAGACCCGACAGCAUGGGUGGUUCCCUGUGUAUCUGUGAGGGGCAAAAUCGUG